AAAUUCGUCAAAACACUGCAUGAUCUUAUCUUUCUCUUCUCUCCCGUGUCUAUAUUUACCAAGCAUCACAUCAAAGCUAGUUCGGACUGCGGAACACGACGACGAAGCGAAAGAACGCAAGGUCAAGUCAGAGGCAGAGGGCAGAGGCAGGAGCAGUGGUAGCGCGACGCCGCCGGGGAGUGAUGGCACUGGCGUGAUACAUGGAGGGCAAAAAGGCCAAGAUCCUCGCGGGCGCGGUGGCUGUCUUGCUCGUGGCUCUCGAGCUCGCCUUGUUCCUCUGCUUCCGCCUGUCGAGGCCGUUCUACCUCUCGACGGCGGUCAUCCUGUCGGCCGCGCUGGCGGGCACCGUCACGGUCCUGCUGUGCCACGCGCUGUACCCCCACGGACGGGCCGAGCGCAUGGCGAGGCGGCUGGUGCUGGACGGCGGCGAGGAUGUGCCGGCGGCGGCGCGCGUGGAGUACAGCUACUUCCGCAAGGUGGCCGGGCUGCCCAGAAGGUUCUCGCUGGAGGCGCUGUCGGCGGCGACGGACGGCUUCCAGUACGUGGUGGGGCAGGGGUCGUCGGGGACGGUGUUCAAGGGCAUCCUCGACGACGGCACGCCCGUGGCGGUGAAGCGGAUCGACGGGUCGGCGCACGUGGACAAGGAGUUCAGGUCGGAGGUGUCGGCCAUCGGCAGCGUGCAGCACGUGAGCCUGGUGCGCCUGCUCGGCUUCUGCCUCGUCCGCAACGGCCCGCGCUUCCUCGUGUACGAGUACAUGGACAACGGGUCGCUGGACAGGUGGAUCUUCCCGCAGGCGCGGCACGGCGGCGGCGCCGGCGGGCGGUGCCUGACGUGGCUGCAGCGGUACCAGGUGGCCGUGGACGUGGCCAGGGCGCUGGCGUACCUGCACCACGACUGCCGCGCCAAGGUGGUGCACCUGGACGUGAAGCCCGAGAACAUCCUCCUCGACGACCGCCUCCGCGGGAUGCUCUCCGACUUCGGGCUGUCCACGCUGAUGGGGAAGGAGCAGAGCCGGGUGGUGACCACGGUGCGCGGCACCACGGGGUACCUGGCCCCGGAGUGGCUCCUGGGCGCCGGCGUCACGGAGAAGUCCGACGUGUACAGCUACGGGAUGGUGCUUAUGGAGAUGCUCGGCGGGCGGCGGAACCUGCAGGCCGAGCCCGGGCCCAGCGGGUCCCGGCGGUGGUCCUACUUCCCGAAGCUGGUCGCCGACAGGGCGCGGGAGGGGCGCGUGGCGGAGGUGCUGGACCGGCGGCUCGCCUCGUCCGCGGGGGACGAGGCGAGCGUGAGGCGGCUGGCCCACGUGGCGCUGUGGACUGUGGUGCGCGCAGGAGAAGCCCGGGGCGCGCCCGACCAUGGCGCGCGUGGUGGAGAUGCUGGAGGCCAGGGGCGGCGCCAGCGUGGAGCCCCCGCCGCCGUCGGACAUGAUCGUGGUGGACCUGCUCGCGCUCGACCCCGCGCAGACGCACCACGGCGGCGGCGGCGGCCCGUUCGGGCUCCCCGGGUUGCCACCGGGACCGAGCUCGGUGGGGACGGCCGCGUCGGCGGCGAUGAGCAUGGGCGAAUCGUUCGCGCUCUCCUACCUGUCCGGGCGGUAGCGCACGUGGCUGUGCCGCGCCGCAAUUCCGUAGCGAUCGAUCGGCCAUUCAGGACUCCACCAGGAUGCUGCAAAAGGACUACCCAACAGUGGAGUGGCAGUAGCUUCAUGCCUUCAUGAUCUGGUGCGGUGACUGGUGAGUGAUUUCAGGCUGCGGUCUGACAAACUGUACGUACUACUACAGAGUGCAAUCAUUGAAACGAAGGUGCAGACCUUGGCGCACCAAGUUCAGCUGCAAGCUGACUGGCACAGUGUCAUUGAAGAUUAGAUGCAGGCGUGGGAGAAGCUGGAACGCCAUCAAUGGUUAUGCGCAUAAUACGAUUCUAAGUUUUUUAUUCUAAUUUUUUCUGUAAAAUUUCCAUUCCCCAAAUAGGUAGCCCUUCAUUUCAACCGGUUCCACCCAAC